rnacentral:rRNA from 1 species
UACAGAGGUCCCGAGCGUUGUUCGGAUUCAUUGGGCGUAAAGGGUGCGUAGGCGGUCUUCUAAGUUUGAUGUGAAAUCCCGGGGCUCAACCCUGAAAUGGCAUUGAAUACUGGAGGACUAGAGUACCGGAGAGGAAACUGGAAUUUACGGUGUAGCAGUGAAAUGCGUAGAUAUCAGGAAGAACACCCGUGGCGAAGGCGGCUCACUGGACAGUUCCUGACACUGAGACACGAAGGCCAGGGGAGCAAACGGG